AAGGAGUCUAACAUAUUUGAGAGUAUUUGGGUGGCAAACCCGAGAGCGCAAUUAAAGUGAACGUAGGAGCCACGCGCAAGCUGCAGCUUCGACCGAUCUGGAUCUUUAGUAAUGGAUUUGAGUAAGAGCAUAUAUGUUGGGACCCGAAAGAUGGUGAACUAUGCCUGAAUAGGGCGAAGCCAGAGGAAACUCUGGUGGAGGCUCGUAGCGAUUCUGACGCGCAAAUCGAUCGUCAAAUUUGGGUAUAGGGGCGAAAGACUAAUCGAACCAUCUAGUAGCUGGUUCCUGC
rnacentral:misc_RNA from 1 species